rnacentral:rRNA from 1 species
UACGUAGGGUGCGAGCGUUGUCCGGAAUUAUUGGGCGUAAAGGGCUCGUAGGCGGUCUGUCGCGUCGGGAGUGAAAACUCAGGGCUUAACCCUGAGCCUGCUUCCGAUACGGGCAGACUAGAGGUAUGCAGGGGAGAACGGAAUUCCUGGUGUAGCGGUGGAAUGCGCAGAUAUCAGGAGGAACACCGGUGGCGAAGGCGGGUCUCUGGACAGUUCCUGACGCUGAGGCACGAAGGUCAGGGGAGCAAACGGG